rnacentral:rRNA from 1 species
UGGGGAAUUUUGGACAAUGGGGGAAACCCUGAUCCAGCCAUCCCGCGUGUGCGAUGAAGGCCUUCGGGUUGUAAAGCACUUUUGGCAGGAAAGAAACGUCGCGGGUUAAUACCCCGCGAAACUGACGGUACCUGCAGAAUAAGCACCGGCUAACUACGUGCCAGCAGCCGCGGUAAUACGUAGGGUGCAAGCGUUAAUCGGAAUUACUGGGCGUAAAGCGUGCGCAGGCGGUUCGGAAAGAAAGAUGUGAAAUCCCAGAGCUUAACUUUGGAAACUGCAUUUUUAACUACCGGGCUAGAGUGUGUCAGAGGGAGGUGGAAUUCCGCGUGUAGCAGUGAAAUGCGUAGAUAUGCGGAGGAACACCGAUGGCGAAGGCAGCCUCCUGGGAUAACACUGACGCUCAUGCACGAAAGCGUGGGGGAGCAAACAGGAUUAGAUACCCUGGUAGUCCACGCCCUAAACGAUGUCAACUAGCUGUUGGGGCCUUCGGGCCUUGGUAGCGCAGCUAACGCGUGAAGUUGACCGCCUGGGGAGUACGGUCGC